UACAGAGGGUGCGAACGUUGUUCGGAAUCACUGGGCAUAAAGCGCACGUAGGCGGCACCGCAAGUGUGGAGUGAAAUCCCACGGCUUACCCGUGGAACUGCUUGGCAGACUGCGGUGCUAGAGGUUGGUAGGGGAGAGCGGAACUCUUGGUGGAGCGGUGAAAUGCGUAGAUAUGCGGAGGAACACCGAUGGCGAAGGCAGCCCCCUGGGAUGUGACUGACGCUCAUGUACGAAAGCGUGGGGAGCAAACAGG
rnacentral:rRNA from 1 species